rnacentral:rRNA from 1 species
ACCAAGGCUAAGACGUCUAGGCGGAUUGAGAGAUUGACCGCCAACAUUGGGACUGAGAUACUGCCCAGACUCCUACGGGAGGCUGCAGUCGAGGAUCUUUCGCAAUGGGCGCAAGCCUGACGGAGCGACGCUGUGUGAGUGAUGAAGGCCUUCGGGUUGUAAAACUCUUUUGUCUGGGAACAAGAAAGAUUCGUGAAUAACGAAUCAAUUUGAGCGUACCAGAAGAAAAAGCACCGGCUAACUACGUGCCAGCAGCUGCGGUAAUACGUAGGGUGCAAGCAUUAAUCGGAAUUAUUGGGCGUAAAGGGCGCGUAGGCGGAUUGAUAAGUCAGAUGUGAAAUACCAAAGCUCAACUUUGGUGCUGCAUUUGAAACUGUCUCUCUAGAGGAUUGACGGAGAAAGCGGAAUUCCACGUGUAGCGGUGAAAUGCGUAGAUACGUGGAGGAACACCGGUGGCGAAGGCGGCUUUCUAGUUUAUACCUGACGCUGAGGCGCGAGAGCAAGGGGAGC